UCAUAGUGUAACUUGUUCUGCUUUCUUGGAUGUUUUAUUUUUACAUGAGAUCUCUGAAGAUUCUAUGAAGAUAUGAUUCACAUGGAGUGUUGACCAAGAAGCACGUGGUUUCUAGAAGCAGUGAUAGGCGGUUUAUCUUUGUCGUGUUUCUUAAGUGUGAUGUUGUAACAUUUAAGGAAACAUUUUAUUUGCUUCAGAAUAUUGUGCUGAAGACGUGUGGAUCAGCUGUAUAUUUAGCUCAUUUUAUGCAUCUAGUCAUUCUGCAUUCAGGCUAUAUAAAGGAAGAUUGUAAACCUAAUGUACUUACUGAAGCAUCAUUUCAGAAGUGUCUAUUAGGGUUUUAUGCUAUCCUUGUUUUUUUGUGAGCCACUCUUGUAUCACCUUGAUGCUAGAGUUGGACUGUUAGUUGAGUUGUAAGCUUUGAAUCACUCGUAAGCUUUUAAGAAAGAGUGAAUUUUUUUUUCACGAAGUGUGGUUCCAUUUCAUUUGUAAUUGUUGAUUAUCACUAGUAGUGAUUGAGCGGAAGUGAGAGGGGUCUCAUAUCUAGGUGUGUCUUAGAUAGAAAUUACAUGGGUAGUGAUUAGGUGCGAAGCUAGUAGAACGGAGGUUUUUACGCAUGCUUCAAACUAACACUAUUAUAGUGAAUUUUCUUCCUGGCUUGGUAGCCCCCAGACGUAGAAGACGUUGCACCGAACUGGGUUAACAAAUAACUUGUG
rnacentral:lncRNA from 1 species